GACGAACGCUGGCGGCGUGCUUAACACAUGCAAGUCGAGCGGUAAGGCCUUUCGGGGUACACGAGCGGCGAACGGGUGAGUAACACGUGGGUGAUCUGCCCUGCACUUCGGGAUAAGCCUGGGAAACUGGGUCUAAUACCGGAUAUGACCUCCUAUCGCAUGGUGGGUGGGGGCAAGAUUUAUCGGUGCAGGAUGGGCCCGCGGCCUAUCAGCUUGUUGGUGGGGUAAUGGCCUACCAAGGCGACGACGGGUAGCCGACCUGAGAGGGUGACCGGCCACACUGGGACUGAGACACGGACCAGACUCCUACGGGAGGCAGCAGUGGGGAAUAUUGCACAAUGGGCGAAAGCCUGAUGCAGCGACGCCGCGUGAGGGAUGACGGCCUUCGGGUUGUAAACCUCUUUCAGCAGGGACGAAGCGCAAGUGACGGUACCUGCAGAAGAAGCACCGGCUAACUACGUG
rnacentral:rRNA from 1 species